CCUACGGGAGGCAGCAGUGGGGAAUAUUGGGCAAUGGGCGCAAGCCUGACCCAGCAACGCCGCGUGAAGGAAGAAGGCUUUCGGGUUGUAAACUUCUUUUCUCAGGGACGAAGAAAGUGACAGUACCUGAGUAAUAAGCCACGUCUAACUACGUGCCAGCAGCCGCGGUAAUACGUAGGUGGCAAGCGUUAUCCGGAUUUAUUGGGUGUAAAGGGCGUGUAGGCGGGAGCGCAAGUCAGAUGUGAAAACUCAGGGCUCAACCCUGAGCCUGCAUUUGAAACUGUGUUUCUUGAGUGCUGGAGAGGUAAUCGGAAUUCCGUGUGUAGCGGUGAAAUGCGUAGAUAUACGGAGGAACACCAGUGGCGAAGGCGGAUUGCUAAACAGCAACUGACGCUGAGGCGCGAAAGCGUGGGGAGCAAACAGGAUUAGAUACCCCAGUAGUC
rnacentral:rRNA from 1 species